rnacentral:lncRNA from 1 species
AAUAAGUCAGUCAGAGAAAGACAACUAUCAUAUGAUCUCCCUGAUAUGAGGAAGUGGAGAUGCAAUGUGGGGAGUUUGGAGAACCAGCUGCUUCUGACAGCACUAGAAGCAUGUUACCUAGAGUAAUUGUCUCAACAAGGACCAGAGACUCAAGAAUGAGGAUUUUGAACUGUAACUACUAUUGGUAAAUGCCACCCAAUUUCAGAAGAUCCCUGAAUAUUUGGCAGCUGACAUGAAAUUCAUAUUGGUCUUCAGAAAUUUAAAAUAAAAGAAGAAAAUUAUAUGCAAAAGCUAAAAAGGAAAGCAUUUAUACUUCCAGAUUUUGGUAAAGAAAGAACAGAUGGCUUGUGGAGCACUCUGGAAAUGUGAAAAAGCUGUGCUGUUUAAUAGUUCAGCAAAAGAAGGAAGUAACAAUGUGAGAAGCUGCCUCCAAUAAAGAAGUUCAUUAAAUCAUGAGUAUCCCCAGUUUGUUUUUUU